GAUGAACGCUGGCGGCGUGCCUAAUACAUGCAAGUCGAGCGAACGGACGAGAAGCUUGCUUUUCUGAUGUUAGCGGCGGACGGGUGAGUAACACGUGGAUAACCUACCUAUAAGACUGGGAUAACUUCGGGAAACCGGAGCUAAUACCGGAUAAUAUUUUGAACCGCAUGGUUCAAAAGUGAAAGACGGUCUUGCUGUCACUUAUAGAUGGAUCCGCGCUGCAUUAGCUAGUUGGUAAGGUAACGGCUUACCAAGGCAACGAUGCAUAGCCGACCUGAGAGGGUGAUCGGCCACACUGGAACUGAGACACGGUCCAGACUCCUACGGGAGGCAGCAGUAGGGAAUCUGCCGCAAUGGGCGAAAGCCUGACGGAGCAACGCCGCGUGAGUGAUGAAGGUCUUCGGAUCGUAAAACUCUGUUAUUAGGGAAGAACAUAUGUGUAAGUAACUGUGCACAUCUUGACGGUACCUAAUCAGAAAGCCACGGCUAACUACGU
rnacentral:rRNA from 1 species